rnacentral:rRNA from 1 species
GACGAACGCUGGCGGCGUGCUUAACACAUGCAAGUCGAACGAAGAGCGAUGGAAGCUUGCUUCUAUCAAUCUUAGUGGCGAACGGGUGAGUAACGCGUAAUCAACCUGCCCUUCAGAGGGGGACAACAGUUGGAAACGACUGCUAAUACCGCAUACGAUCUAACCUCGGCAUCGAGGAUAGAUGAAAGGUGGCCUCUAUUUAUAAGCUAUCACUGAAGGAGGGGAUAGCGUCUGAUUAGCUAGUUGGAGGGGUAACGGCCCACCAAGGCGAUGAUCAGUAGCCGGUCUGAGAGGAUGAACGGCCACAUUGGGACAGAGACACGGCCCAGACUCCUACGGGAGGCAGCAGUGGGGAAUCUUCCGCAAUGGACGAAAGUCUGACGGAGCAACGCCGCGUGAGUGAUGACGGCCUUCGGGUUGUAAAGCUCUGUUAAUCGGGACGAAAGGCCUUCUUGCGAAUAGUUAGAAGGAUUGACGGUACCGGAAUAGAAAGCCACGGCUAACUACGUGCCAGCAGCCGCGGUAAUACGUAGGUGGCAAGCGUUGUCCGGAAUUAUUGGGCGUAAAGCGCGCGCAGGCGGAUUGGUCAGUCUGUCUUAAAAGUUCGGGGCUUAACCCCGUGAUGGGAUGGAAACUGCCAAUCUAGAGUAUCGGAGAGGAAAGUGGAAUUCCUAGUGUAGCGGUGAAAUGCG